AGAUAUUUCGUUUAUUGAAUUCUCAUAGUCAUCUAUCUCAUGGUCGAAAUCUUCUUCACCAUCGUGAUGAACUAAAUGAGCUUCUAGAUUCUUUUCAAACUCUCUUGAUAGAGAUCAACGAGAUGCUUAGGUGUCCUGCACGUCUUAGUCCAAUGGUUUCCCCAUUCCUCAUCAGUGGCAAACAAGUUUAUUUGAGUGUUGUGGUUUGGGUAUACCGUGGCCUCUACCUCGAUUACGACCAAAGUCGGGUCGGCGGCCUUAACCAUAUGAAUGGUUUCCUUGAUCAUAUAAAUUAUAAUUGCCACUUCUACCACGUCCAUUCCAUUUACCAUGACUGUGGCCAUGAUACUUAUCUCUUUGGA
rnacentral:lncRNA from 1 species